rnacentral:rRNA from 1 species
ACUCAAAUGAAUUGACGGGGACCCACACAAGCGGUGGAGCAUCUGGUUUAAUUCGACAGUAAGCGAGGAACCUCACCAAGACUUGACAUCCCGGGAAGUUUGCCGAAAGGUGAAUGUGCCGUAAGGAACCCGGUGACAGGUGCUGCAUGGUUGUCGUCAGCUCGUGCCUUGAGGUGUUCGGUUAAGUCCGUGAACGAGCGCAACCCUUGUCCCAAGUUGUAUUUUUUCUUGGGAGACUGCCGGCUCUAAGUCGGAGGAAGGCAAGGAUGACGUCAAAUCAGCAUGGCCCUUAUGUCUUGGGCGACACAGGUGCUACAAUGGCCGGUACAAUGGGCUGCGAAGAGGUAACUCGGAGCUAAUCCCUAAAACUGGUCUAAGUUCGGAUUGAGGGCUGCAACUCGCCCUCAUGAAGUUGGAAUCGCUAGUAACCGCGGAUCAGCCAUGGCGCGGUGAAUAUGUUCCUGGGUCUUGUACACACCGCCCGU